GUGUCAGCAGCCGCGGUAAUACGUAGGCAGCAAGCGUUGUUCGGAGUUACUGGGCGUAAAGAGUACGUAGGCGGUUUGCUAAGUCUGGUGUGAAAUCUCCUGGCUUAACUGGGAGGGUGCGCUAGAUACUGGCAGGCUUGAGUAUGGGAGAGGAGAGUGGAAUUCCUGGUGUAGCGGUGAAAUGCGUAGAUAUCAGGAGGAACGCCGGUGGUGUAGACGGCUCUCUGGACCAUUACUGACGCUGAGGUACGAAAGCGUGGGUAGCAAACAGGAUUAGAAACCCGCGUAGUCC
rnacentral:rRNA from 1 species